rnacentral:misc_RNA from 1 species
GAUGAAGAACGUAGCGAAAUGCGAUAAGUAGUGUGAAUUGCAGAAUUCAGUGAAUCAUCGAAUCUUUGAACGCACAUUGCGCCCUUUGGUAUUCCUUAGGGCAUGCCUGUUCGAGCGUCAUUUAAACCUUCAAGCUAAGCUUGGUGUUGGGUGACUGUCCGCUUCACGGCGGACUCGCCUCAAAAUUAUUGACGGCCGGUACAUUGGCUUCGAGCGCAGCAGAAACGCGAACUCGGGCCCGUCGUAUUGGCUCCCAGAAGCUAUCUUCACAAUUUUGACCUCGGAUCAGGUAGGGAUACCCGCUGAACUUAAGCAUAUCAAUAAGCGGAGGA